rnacentral:lncRNA from 1 species
AUUCAUUUUAAGCUGCAAUCGAAAUAACACUCAACUAAGUAAUUCAGAACAGUAUUCGAAUCUCGAUAUAGGCUAGAGAGCGGAAAACGAAACCUGAAGCAGCAGAAGAGGAUGAAAUCCGACGGAGGCUUAAAAAAUUAGAAUGAGGUUUUGGCUUUUGCUUUUUCGGAAGACUUUUCUAUCUAAUGCCAUGUCUAAUGUGAUACAUUAACACUACUACUGCCUGCUGCUCGCCGCUCCUCAGGAGCAACCGCUAGUGGUUUCCAACCGCAAAUCAACUUUUACCUAAAUACCAAUACCGAUACGAUUGCGUAUUGUCUAUUUAAUGUGUCCAGACACGGAAGGGGGCUUCCCAUUUUUCCUUUUUUUUUUUAAUCGUUUUUAUUUUUUAAUUUAGUUUCUUUAUUAACUAAUGUAUUUUAUAUUAGUAUAUAAUAAUUAAUUAAAUAUCAUUGAAUUUUUUUGGUAAAUUUAAAAUGCCUUUUGUUGGAUUUUCUAUUGGCAUAAGAAAACAGUCAACAAGAUGGGAAAUUAACUUCAAGCUGUAAUAAAAAAUCAAAAUUUUCUAUAACUCGUAGCUGACUGCUGUACGGCCAAGGCGGAUGUACGGUACAGCAGUUGAGUUCAUUCCACCCAACAUAAAGCCACGUAAAUGAAUAUAUGCAUAAAAGCCAAAUUUAACUUGUGAAUAACUACGGCAUCGGAUAUCUAGAAUGCCUAAACGUAUCAAAUAAUCAGUGUCUCAUAACCGACACAAAUUAGCGACGAGAAUAAAAAGUAAUCUUAUUGCGAUGCUUCCUUAUAAUUGACUAUCUAAUAAUAAUUUCAUCUUAUUUCUUCAAAAUCUGCAGAGUUUUGAACGUCAAGUAAUUUUUCAUCAACAGAGCGGAAGAUUUAAAAAACUUACUAAAAUCAGCAGGCCAGUAAAUUAGGCAUCAAGUAGUAGAAAUAUGCAGAAUUUGAUAUACAGAUACGUAGAACGGAUGAAUUUAUUCAUUUUAAGCUGCAAUCGAAAUAACACUCAACUAAGUAAUUCAGAACAGUAUUCGAAUCUCGAUAUAGGCUAGAGAGCGGAAAACGAAACCUGAAGCAGCAGAAGAGGAUGAAAUCCGACGGAGGCUUAAAAAAUUAGAAUGAGGUUUUGGCUUUUGCUUUUUCGGAAGACUUUUCUAUCUAAUGCCAUGUCUAAUGUGAUACAUUAACACUACUACUGCCUGCUGCUCGCCGCUCCUCAGGAGCAACCGCUAGUGGUUUCCAACCGCAAAUCAACUUUUACCUAAAUACCAA